AUUGAACGCUGGCGGUAUGCUUAACACAUGCAAGUCGAACGGCAGCGCGUUGGUUUCUUCGGAAAUCGAUGGCGGCGAGUGGCGGACGGGUGAGUAACGCGUAGGAAUCUACCCUAAAGCGGGGGAUAACCCGAGGAAACUCGGGCUAAUACCGCAUUAGCUCUACGGAGUAAAGUUGGGGAUCACUUCGGUGACCUAACACUUUAGGAUGAGCCUGCGUCAGAUUAGUUUGUUGGUGGGGUAAUGGCCUACCAAGACUACGAUCUGUAGCUGGUCUGAGAGGACGAUCAGCCACACUGGGACUGAGACACGGCCCAG
rnacentral:rRNA from 1 species